AGGUACCAUUAUGGUUUAAAAGGGAAUUCGGUGAGAAACCGAAGCUGUCCCCGCAACUGUAAGUGCGGACAACUGUUGAUUAUGCCACUGCGAGGUUUCGUGGGAAGGCCAACGGGAGGAAGAUGCACGAGCCAGUAGACCUGCCUUUUUA
rnacentral:ncRNA from 1 species